rnacentral:rRNA from 1 species
UACGGAGGGUGCAAGCGUUGUCCGGAAUUAUUGGGCGUAAAGAGCUCGUAGGCGGUUUGUCGCGUCGAAUGUGAAAACCCGGGGCUCAACCCCGGGCCUGCAUUCGAUACGGGCAGACUAGAGUUCGGUAGGGGAGUCUGGAAUUCCUGGUGUAGCGGUGAAAUGCGCAGAUAUCAGGAAGAACACCCGUGGCGAAGGCGGCUCUCUGGGACGGUACUGACGCUGAGACGCGAAAGCGUGGGGAGCAAACAGG